UUGUAUGCCGGGCUCAGAUGUACCGAACAAGUGAAGUGUGCUAKUUYCCUGGGGGGGGGGGGGGUCAUUAUUGCUAUAUAUCGCCAAUUGCCUUUGUGUGUGGAAUGCCAGCUCUGACAUGAUCUGCUGUAACAACCAUUUCCUUACAGCAUUAUCUGAACAUGUUACUCUCCUGUCAUUAUGAUGUAGUGAAGAUUGUUUUCUGGGGUAUAGAUUUUUUCCUCUUGUCACCGCUACCCAUCUGCUCUGUGAAUAACUGUUUGUUUAUGCUAGCGCAUUGGCCCUAGGUUGCCAGAAUUUUGCUGCCACUUACAUGCUUAUGUGUCAACCUCCCAAGAUUUUUUCACAAAUGGCAACUUCCACAGACACCAGAUGGCAAAAUUUAGUCAGCAACACAUGUCAACUUCUCUCCCUCCUCCCCCCUCUUUGAAC
rnacentral:lncRNA from 1 species